rnacentral:rRNA from 1 species
AGAGUUUGAUCCUGGCUCAGAUUGAACGCUGGCGGCAUGCCUUACACAUGCAAGUCGAACGGUAACGCGGGGCAACCUGGCGACGAGUGGCGAACGGGUGAGUAAUGCAUCGGAACGUGCCCAGUAGUGGGGGAUAGCCCGGCGAAAGCCGGAUUAAUACCGCAUACGACCUACGGGUGAAAGCGGGGGACCGUAAGGCCUCGCGCUACUGGAGCGGCCGAUGUCAGAUUAGCUAGUUGGUGGGGUAAAAGCCUACCAAGGCGACGAUCUGUAGCUGGUCUGAGAGGACGACCAGCCACACUGGGACUGAGACACGGCCCAGACUCCUACGGGAGGCAGCAGUGGGGAAUUUUGGACAAUGGGCGCAAGCCUGAUCCAGCCAUGCCGCGUGCGGGAAGAAGGCCUUCGGGUUGUAAACCGCUUUUGUCAGGGAAGAAACGCUCUGGGCUAAUACCCCGGGGUAAUGACGGUACCUGAAGAAUAAGCACCGGCUAACUACGUGCCAGCAGCCGCGGUAAUACGUAGGGUGCAAGCGUUAAUCGGAAUUACUGGGCGUAAAGCGUGCGCAGGCGGUUAUGCAAGACAGAUGUGAAAUCCCCGGGCUCAACCUGGGAACUGCAUUUGUGACUGUAUAGCUAGAGUACGGUAGAGGGGGAUGGAAUUCCGCGUGUAGCAGUGAAAUGCGUAGAUAUGCGGAGGAACACCGAUGGCGAAGGCAAUCCCCUGGACCUGUACUGACGCUCAUGCACGAAAGCGUGGGGAGCAAACAGGAUUAGAUACCCUGGUAGUCCACGCCCUAAACGAUGUCAACUGGUUGUUGGACGGCUUGCUGUUCAGUAACGAAGCUAACGCGUGAAGUUGACCGCCUGGGGAGUACGGCCGCAAGGUUGAAACUCAAAGAAUUGACGGGGACCCGCACAAGCGGUGGAUGAUGUGGUUUAAUUCGAUGCAACGCGAAAAACCUUACCUACCCUUGACAUGUCAAGAAUCUUGCAGAGAUGUGAGAGUGCUCGAAAGAGAACUUGAACACAGGUGCUGCAUGGCCGUCGUCAGCUCGUGUCGUGAGAUGUUGGGUUAAGUCCCGCAACGAGCGCAACCCUUGUCAUUAGUUGCUACGAAAGGGCACUCUAAUGAGACUGCCGGUGACAAACCGGAGGAAGGUGGGGAUGACGUCAGGUCCUCAUGGCCCUUAUGGGUAGGGCUACAUACGUCAUACAAUGGCCGGUACAGAGGGCUGCCAACCCGCGAGGGGGAGCUAAUCCCAGAAAACCGGUCGUAGUCCGGAUCGCAGUCUGCAACUCGACUGCGUGAAGUCGGAAUCGCUAGUAAUCGCGGAUCAGCUUGCCGCGGUGAAUACGUUCCCGGGUCUUGUACACACCGCCCGUCACACCAUGGGAGCGGGUUCUGCCAGAAGUAGUCAGCCUAACCGCAAGGAGGGCGAUUACCACGGCAGGGUUCGUGACUGGGGUGAAGUCGUAACAAGGUA